rnacentral:rRNA from 1 species
AUUGAACGCUGGCGGCAGGCCUAACACAUGCAAGUCGAACGAGUGGCGGACGGGUGAGUAAUGUCUGGGAAACUGCCCGAUGGAGGGGGAUAACUACUGGAAACGGUAGCUAAUACCGCGUACCAUCGGAUGUGCCCAGAUGGGAGUAGCUUGUAGGUGAGGUAACGGCUCACCUAGGAGACGAGCCCUAGCUGGUCUGAGAGGCUGACCAGACACAGUGGAACUGAGAAACUGUCCAGACUCCGAAGGGAGGCAGCAGUGGGGAAUAUGGAACAAGGGGCGCAAUGCUGAUGCAGCCAUGCCGGGUGUAUGAAGAAGGCCUUCGGGUUGUAAAGUACUUUCAGCGGGGAGGCGUUACCCGCAGAAGAAGCACCGGCUAACUCCGUGCCAGCAGCCGCGGUAAUAC